UUUUAAAUUUUGUUUUAUUCUUUUACAGAUUUGUGUGGCAGGUUUAUUAAUGCUGUCCCCAUGAGUCCAUGUCCCUUUUAUACAGGCAAUGGAGGGAGCAUGGAAGCAUGUGAUGUAGCUGCUGACGCAUCAGGGCUGGAUUCAUCAUACCAGGCGAUACUUUCCCUGCUGCUUUGCCAAAGAGAACGUUGGCCAUGAUUGGCUUUAGAUGAAAAGUCAAGGAGUCACCAAAAUCAUUUGCUGGGGACCAUUGAUAUCCAUAGCAAAUUUCAUGGCAAUCUACUGAGCACUUGUGGGAAAUGAGCAAAUAGAGGACAUGUGACACAAAACCCUCAGCACAGCAGUGGAGAGAUCGCUUUCAGAUUCACAGAGAAUUCAGAUCUUCUCCCAGGAAGUGAACUACCAUGGAAGAGAUGGAGCUGUCUGACUACAUCAAUGAACAUGAGUUUAGGGGAUUGAAGCAAACUGAAACUAACAAAACUGAACAAUCAGACAGAAGACUCCUCAGAAUUGGGCUUUUGACUUUAGGAGUGAUAUGUAUCAUACAAGCUGCUCUCAAUUUCUCCUUGCACCUUGCCUUUUAUUCAAAAGAAGAUACAGAUCAGUUUCCCUUCAACAGCUCUGUAAUAAAAGAGGUGUGCCAGAUUGACCAGUCUCAGCAGAAUUCAACCCAGUUCUGUUCCUGCUGCAACAAACUGCUCAGAAGACUAAUAAGGGAAAAUACAGCCUUGAGAGACCGCUUACAGGACAUGGUCGGUCAACUGAGUAGAGAUUAUAUCGAGGAGUCUGGGUCUGGUUUCCUGGAUGGAUUCUACAGUUCAGAAUGAACUCUUGGGCGUUAGGAACAGCAGUGUUAGGGCUUCAAGCAUGCAACAGUAAUGUUUUGUGUUUGCUUAGUUGACAUUAGCUCAGCUAAAAGGACAAUAUGCUAGUAGCCAACUUGUUUGCCAAGUGCCCAUCAUAGCAUCACAUUUGCCUGCGAGUUACUGGUUCAUGGUGUGAAAUAUUGUUCUAACCAUCCCCUUGCAAAUCUCAUACACCAGGUGUAUGAGAUUUGCAAACAAAUAUGAUUAUAUUUAAUGGACUGUUAACUAAAACAGCACAAGAAAAAACUAUUAUAAGCAAAACUGUAGUAUUUUCAUAUGUUCAUAUGUUCCCCUUUUUUUUCUUAAACCAAAAAUGUUACUGAGUGAACCCCAAUCUGUACAUGUAAAUUCAAAUAUUCUGAAACAUUGGUGUUGAAUUAAAAAAGUGU